rnacentral:rRNA from 1 species
CUUGACCAAAUUACGUGCCAGCAGUCGCGGCAAUACGCAGAAGACAAGUGUUAUUCAUCUUUAAUAGGUUUAAAGGGUAUCUAGACGGGAAAUCAAACCAUAAUAGGGACUAAUUUUCUAGAGUUUUAUGGGAGAAAGUCGAAUAUCUGGAGUAGAGAUAAAAUAUUGUGAUACCAGAGAGACGGGUAACGGCGUAGGCAACUUUCUAUGUAAAAACUGACGUUGAGGUACGAAGCCCUGGGUAACGAGAAGGAUUAGAUACCCCAGUAGUCCAGGGAGACAAUGAUGAGUGCCAUAGGCUAGAUCAAUUGGUCUAUAAAUGAAAGUGCAAGCAUUCCACCUUAAGACUAAAGCGGCAACGCCCAAAUUGAAAUCAUUAGACCGUUCCUGAAACCAGUAGUGAAGUAUGUUAUUUAAUUCGAUGAUCCGCGAAUAACCUUACCACGUUUUGAAUACUAUUCAAUUAAUACAAGCGCUGCACGGCUGUCUUUAGUUAAUGUCGUGAGACUUUGGUUAACUCCUUUAAUUAACGAAAACCCUUGUUUUAUUU